rnacentral:tRNA from 1 species
AAGAGAGACAUAAAGGUUAUGAUGUUGGCUUGAAACCAGCUAGAGAAGGUUCGAGUCCUUCCUUUCUUG